GAAGCACUCCCUCACUACGUAGCACUGGAGCGGAUCUGGGCCGUCAGCGAAGUUGGAGCCUGGACAUACACGUAUCCACCCCGAUCACAGAAGCAGUGAGGGGGAUCGGAAUUUACCGGUGACAAAAUCUGA